rnacentral:rRNA from 1 species
GCUGGCGGCAUGCUUUACACAUGCAAGUCGAACGGUAACGCGGGCUUCGGCCUGGCGACGAGUGGCGAACGGGUGAGUAGAACAUCGGAACGUAUCUUUUAGUGGGGGAUAGCCCGGCGAAAGCCGGAUUAAUACCGCAUGAGCUCUUAGGAGGAAAGCGGGGGACUUUCGGGCCUCGCGCUGGCAGAGCGGCCGAUGCCGGAUUAGCUUGUUGGUGGGGUAAGAGCCUACCAAGGCGAUGAUCCGUAGCUGGUCUGAGAGGAUGAUCAGCCACACUGGAACUGAGACACGGUCCAGACUCCUACGGGAGGCAGCAGUGGGGAAUUUUGGACAAUGGGGGCAACCCUGAUCCAGCCAUGCCGCGUGCGGGAAGAAGGCCUUCGGGUUGUAAACCGCUUUCAUACGGGACGAAAUGGCUCUGGUUAAUAUCCGGGGUUGAUGACGGUACCGUAAGAAGAAGCACCGGCUAACUAC